CCGUCCUAGUCUCAACCAUAAACGAUGCCGACCAGGGAUCGGCGGAUGUUGCUUAUAGGACUCCGCCGGCACCUUAUGAGAAAUCAAAGUCUUUGGGUUCCGGAGGAAGUUUGGUCGCAAGGCUGAAACUUAAAGGAAUUGACGGAAGGGCACCACCAGGCGUGGAGCCUGCGGCUUAAUAUGAGUGAACACGGGGAAACUUACCAGG
rnacentral:ncRNA from 1 species